GACGAACGCUGGCGGCGUGCUUAACACAUGCAAGUCGAACGGAAAGGCCCUGCUUUUGUGGGGUGCUCGAGUGGCGAACGGGUGAGUAACACGUGAGUAACCUGCCCUUGACUUUGGGAUAACUUCAGGAAACUGGGGCUAAUACCGGAUAGGAGCUCCUGCUGCAUGGUGGGGGUUGGAAAGUUUCGGCGGUUGGGGAUGGACUCGCGGCUUAUCAGCUUGUUGGUGGGGUAGUGGCUUACCAAGGCUUUGACGGGUAGCCGGCCUGAGAGGGUGACCGGCCACAUUGGGACUGAGAUACGGCCCAGACGCCUACGGGAGGCAGCAGUGGGGAAUAUUGCACAAGGGGCGGAAGCCUGAUGCAGCAACGCCGCGUGCGGGAUGACGGCCUUCGAGUGGUAAACCGCUUUCGCCUGUGACGAAGCGUGAGUGACGGUAAUGGGUAAAGAAGCACCGGCUAACUACGU
rnacentral:rRNA from 1 species